UGAACGCGAAGAACCUUACCAAGUCUUGACAUCCUUCUGACCGGUACUUAACCGUACCUUCUCUUCGGAGCAGGAGUGACAGGUGGUGCAUGGUUGUCGUCAGCUCGUGUCGUGAGAUGUUGGGUUAAGUCCCGCAACGAGCGCAACCCUUAUCUUUAGUAGCCAGCGGUCCGGCCGGGCACUCUAGAGAGACUGCCAGGGAUAACCUGGAGGAAGGCGGGGAUGACGUCAAAUCAUCAUGCCCCUUAUGACUUGGGCUACACACGUGCUACAAUGGCGUAAACAAAGGGAAGCAAAGCUGUGAAGCCGAGCAAAUCUCAAAAAUAACGUCUCAGUUCGGACUGUAGUCUGCAACCCGACUACACGAAGCUGGAAUCGCUAGUAAUCGCAGAUCAGAAUGCUGCGGUGAAUACGUUCCCGGGUCUUGUACACACCG
rnacentral:rRNA from 1 species